CUUCCCAGUAAGCUUCUGCUAGUAUUUAGGUACUAGUGCAGCCUAGGCCCCUUUUCUCAGGGAUAGCCUAACAUCUGACCGCACCCUCUUUGCUUUUUAAAAAAUGCCUUUUCACUCUUUAAGAUAAAUCCUCUAUUAUACAAUCUGCCACUAAUUGUGUGUUAAGACUGUUUUUCUCUCGAAAGCUGACGCAUCCUGCUCUCAACAUGAUCUAGAAAGCAGGCUGUUACAGUACUGGAUUAAUAAAAGGGGCCUUUAUGGUUUGUGAAAGAAUAUCUCUGUGCUUAGGCAGGAAACUUUUUGAUCCACAGCAAAGCCAGACGACAUCUAGGUGUCUUUUACAAUAUGUUCUGCUCCAGCCAGUGAAUUUUCUUCAACUGGCCAGGUAAGCAAAAUGGUUAUUUAUGCUUAUUAAUGUGCUUAUUUAUAUGUCAUAUUUUUAUUUUUUUUUUAGAAAAAUAUUUUCCAGACAUUUGACAACUAAUU
rnacentral:lncRNA from 1 species